rnacentral:tRNA from 1 species
AACUAAGUAGUGGGGACCAUACUAAAUUGCAAAUUUAGAGAAGCGUGAGCCUUAGUUA